rnacentral:rRNA from 1 species
CGCGACCCCAUGUCAGGCCGGACUACCCGCUGAG